UGGACACUAGAUUCUCUGACAUCGAGAUUAGGUGUGGUGAUAUGGUGAUAUGCUCUGAGAUUAAACCAUAUUCCUCAGAAAGACAUGAAUGGUGCAGAAUCACUAAGAACUUGGGUCAAGGCUCUGCCACUUUACAUAACAAAAGUUCGGAUGCUAUACUUGUUGACGAGGCUCUCAUCCCCAAAGAUGGUGCUGUAGAUAUAAUGUCUGGUUCCGAAAUUGUUCCUAGCCCUGGAGGACAAGGUUACUUGCAGUACAGAUUUACGGUAAUGCCUGCUCCAGAUUCAAGAUCCCAGCUAUUUAAGAUGCUCUAUUAUUAUUAUCUC